rnacentral:rRNA from 1 species
UACGUAGGGUGCGAGCGUUAAUCGGAAUUACUGGGCGUAAAGCGUGCGCAGGCGGUUCGUUAUGUCCGAUGUGAAAGCCCCCGAGCUCAACUUGGGAAUGGCAUUGGAAACUGGCGGGCUGGAGUGUGGCAGAGGGGGGUGGAAUUCCACGUGUAGCAGUGAAAUGCGUAGAGAUGUGGAGGAACACCGAUGGCGAAGGACAGCCCCCUGGGCCAACACUGCGCCUCAGGCACCGAAAGACGUGGGGAGCAAA